UUAAUCUCACUUGUUCUGUAAAGGGUUGGAUUCGACGCCUCUGGAAGGCUACUAUAGGCUGUCCUUUCCAACUCCUACUCAAUAGUCCGCGACGUUCAGAACGGUAGCUUGUCGCCUAGAUAUCCUGGCUUGGGCAUACGGAGCGAUCCAACACCUUGGGCGGAUGAGCGACAAGGCUGAAUUGAGAGGU
rfam:Anopheles atroparvus strain EBRO unplaced genomic scaffold supercont1.989, whole genome shotgun sequence.